AAUAGAUUUUUCAAUUGCCAAAAACCAUUGAAAGUCUGAGUUACUGCUCUUAUAAAGCAUUUUCUUUUCAUUCUGAUUGCUAUUUACCAUUUUAAUAUAUACCAGCCAACAAAAACUGCAUGGGCUUGGAAAUCCCAUUUGCUUACCUAAAUGCUGUUUCUCUGAGCAGUCUCUUUGUUUUAUAGCUUCAGAUUAAUACAAGGCAGUCUGAAACAGAUUCUAAUUUGGUUUUUGGCUUGUAAAAGCUGGGGGAAGGAAUAUGAAAGAUUGAACUGAGCAAUAAAUGAACCACUAUUUGAUGUGCCACUGUGCAAUAGGAAGAGCGCUUAUGAACCUCUUUUGAAAGCACUGCAUGCAGAAUCUGCAGACAGAGACCAUGCCACUGAAACUACAGCUUCUGUGACAUGAAGUGGUGCCCUGCCUAGAAAGUGCUGGAGGAAGGACUGUGCAGCGUGCAGCUGGAGGCAAACAGGAUUUUCUGUUUACCCAACUUGCCAGAACCCCACAACCACAGAAAAUACGAAAGAAAGAAGUCUAUAUGAG